AACGAACGCUGGCGGCAUGCCUAAUACAUGCAAGUCGAACGAGAUCUUCGGAUCUAUUGUCGCACGGUUGCGUAACGCGUGGGAAUCUUCCCUUGGGUUCGGAAUAACUUCUGGAAACGGAAGCUAAUACCGGAUGAUGACUUAAGUCCAAAGAUUUAUCGCCCAAGGAUGAGCCCGCGUAGGAUUAGCUAGUUGGUGGGGUAAAGGCACACCAAGGCGACGAUCCUUAGCUGGUCUGAGAGGAUGAUCAGCCACACUGGGACUGAGACACGGCCCAGACUCCUACGGGAGGCAGCAGUAGGGAAUAUUGGACAAUGGGGGAAACCCUGAUCCAGCAAUGCCGCGUGAGUGAUGAAGGCCUUAGGGUUGUAAAGCUCUUUUACCCGGGAUGAUAAUGACAGUACCGGGAGAAUAAGCUCCGGCUAACUCCGUG
rnacentral:rRNA from 1 species